UACGGAAGGCAGCGGUGGGGAAUAUUGCACAAUGGGCGAAAGCCUGAUGCAGCUAUGCCGCGUGUAUGAAGAAGGCCUUAGGGUUGUAAAGUACUUUCAUCGGGGAGGAAAAAACAAAACUAAUAAUUUUAUUUCUUGACGUUACCCGAAAAAGAAGCACCGGCUAACUCCGUGCCAGCAGCCGCGGUAAUACGGAGGGUGCUAGCGUUAAUCAGAAUUACUGGGCGUAAAGAGCACGUAGGUGGUUUUUUUAAAGUCAGAUGUGAAAUCCCUGGGCUUAACCUGGAACUGCAUUUUGAAACUGAAAUACUAGAGUAUCGUAGAGGGAGGUAGAAUUCUAGGUGUAGCGGUGAAAUGCGUAGAUAUCUGGAGGAAUACCUGUGGCGAAAGCGGCCUCCUAAACGAAUACUGACACUGAGGUGCGAAAGCGUGGGGAGCAAACAGGGAUUAGAUACCCGU
rnacentral:rRNA from 1 species